AAUCAACGCUGGCGGCGUGCCUAACACAUGCAAGUCGAACGCGAAAGCCCCUUCGGGGGUAAGUAGAGUGGCGUCCGGGUGAGUAACACGUAGGUAAUCUACCUUCGGGUGGGGAAUAACCAGUCGAAAGAUUGGCUAAUACCGCAUAAUGCAGCGGCACCUAAUGGUGAUUAGUUGUUAAAGCGGGGGAUCGUAAGACCUCGCGCCUGAAGAGGAGCCUGCGGCAGAUUAGCAGUUGGUGAGGUAAUGGCUCACCAAGGCUUCGAUCUGUAGCUGGUCUGAGAGGACGGCCAGCCACACUGGCACUGACACACGGGCCAGACUCCUACGGGAGGCAGCAGUGGGGAAUUUUGGGCAAUGGGCGAAAGCCUGACCCAGCAACGCCGCGUGAGGGAGGAAAUCCUUCGGGAUGUAAACCUCACAAGCAAGGGAAGAGAGCUCAGGGCCGAAUAAGCUUUGAGUCCGACGGUACCUUGCGUAAGCCACGGCUAACUACGU
rnacentral:rRNA from 1 species